rnacentral:rRNA from 1 species
GAUGAACGCUGGCGGCGUGCUUAACACAUGCAAGUCGAUCGAUGAUCUCCAGCUUGCUGGGGGGAUUAGUGGCGAACGGGUGAGUAACACGUGAGUAACCUGCCCUUGACUCUGGGAUAAGCCUGGGAAACUGGGUCUAAUACCGGAUACGACCGCUCCACGCAUGUGGUGGUGGUGGAAAGCUUUUGCGGUUUUGGAUGGACUCGCGGCCUAUCAGCUUGUUGGUGGGGUAAUGGCCUACCAAGGCGACGACGGGUAGCCGGCCUGAGAGGGUGACCGGCCACACUGGGACUGAGACACGGCCCAGACUCCUACGGGAGGCAGCAGUGGGGAAUAUUGCACAAUGGGCGCAAGCCUGAUGCAGCGACGCCGCGUGAGGGAUGACGGCCUUCGGGUUGUAAACCUCUUUCAGUAGGGAAGAAGCGAAAGUGACGGUACCUGCAGAAGAAGCGCCGGCUAACUACGUGC